AGUCUUUCAGAGAACUCAUUCAGAAACUUUGACAACUUGCAAGAAGCUUUCUGUGCAUGACUGAAGACCCUCACAGCAAACCAAGGACUGGCACAUGUCCCAAAGUCUGGGGAUGAGGAAAUUCUGAUGGGCUGUCAAAGCUUCUUUCUGUUGUGAUUUCCAGAUGGUGGUAGAAGUAAAGAAGCUGAGAAGAGCCAAGAGUGAGCAUUGAAAAGGGAUAUUCAGAGAGCUGCAGACUGGAUGAAACUGGGAAAGACACUGUUCUCACGAAAAGCAAAGCCUUGCUUUGCAUUUAUAAGGAUUUUGGAGAAGAAUUAAAACUUAAAUAGUUAACUGAUGGCAUACUAAUGAUGGAUUGUGGGUAAGUGACAGCAAAUGUUAUGUACAUCUUGCUGGCUGAAUAUGUAUUUGGAAAAGCUGUACUGAAACCUUUAAUACAAAUACUGUAUAUAAAGUAGAAUCAGAUGGGAAUAGAGCAUCAUUUUUUAAAAUUAUAUCAUGCUGUUCUCUAUUCUUCACAUCUCACCUUAGUCUUUGAAAAGAUUUUCAACAGGGACACAACAUGAGAACUGCUGCAGAGUGACUCACGGCUAGAGUUUAACAAAACCUCUAAAAUAGAAAAGUGUAUCAGUCAAUGAAGAAUAGUUUUAAGUCACUGUCUGUGCACACUAAACGUGUUAACUGUAGUCUCAAUGAACAAGAAUAUGUUCAAUACUACAAGACCAAUAGCAGACAUAGA